GAUGAACGCUGGCGGCGUGCUUAACACAUGCAAGUCGAACGGAAAGGCUCCUGCUUGCAGGGGUACUCGAGUGGCGAACGGGUGAGUAACACGUGGGUGAUCUGCCCUGCACUUCGGGAUAAGCCUGGGAAACUGGGUCUAAUACCGGAUAGGACCACAUUUUGGAUGGUGUGGUGGAAAGUUUUUCGGUGUGGGAUGAGCUCGCGGCCUAUCAGCUUGUUGGUGGGGUAAUGGCCUACCAAGGCGUCGACGGGUAGCCGGCCUGAGAGGGUGUACGGCCACAUUGGGACUGAGAUACGGCCCAGACUCCUACGGGAGGCAGCAGUGGGGAAUAUUGCACAAUGGGCGGAAGCCUGAUGCAGCGACGCCGCGUGGGGGAUGACGGCCUUCGGGUUGUAAACUCCUUUCGCUAGGGACGAAGCGCAAGUGACGGUACCUGGAGAAGAAGCACCGGCUAACUACGUG
rnacentral:rRNA from 1 species